UGUAACCCUAAUACAAAUAAUAAAGGAUUAAGAUUACUGACAUCUGCAUGUAUCAUAAACCGUUUCAUCACAACAAAAUUCAGAAAGCAAGAUAAGUGUAGAACAUAGUUGCUUAUUAAGACUUCGCUUUUUAAAAAUAAUGGCUUGGUGUGGAAUGUGACAGUAGCAGAGUAACCACUCUUGGCACACUGAAUAUUGACUUUGCCUCCGAGCUCCACCCAAGGAACGUAAAAACUGGACACUGGUGGAUGAUGGGACACUUGUUCAGCUACAAAUCUCAGCCUGUAACAUUCAGAUGAAGCUUGUCCCUUGAGACCACAAGAGGCAUUGUUUGUUCUCAUUGGUUUUACUCUGUCCUUAGGCACAUCCCAAGAGCAAUGAAAUGUUUCUCCAAUUAUUGGAUUAUAUGGCUUCUUGGCAACAGCUCCUUUUCGGCCUUCAUGAAAGGCUGUCAAAUAGUAUUCCACAAAGGAGAUGAUUCUUUCCUCAGGGGUGGUUCCACAUGAAAUUGAUAAAAACAGAUCUGGAUGGGACAAGAAGUUUGCAAACAUCUCCAGCAGAGACCUCUUCUCCAGAAUAAAGGCUGGAAGGACUACCUAUAUUGAACAUAAUAAAAAGAAAGCAGUCACUUUGUCAUAACUGCAUAAGGGAAGGAUAAAUAGUCAAGCU